rnacentral:lncRNA from 1 species
AUGUAUCUGAGGAGGAACUAUUCUUUGGAAGAAGUAUCAUAUUUGUUCUUUGUGUUUUCAGGGACCAAACCUAGGGCAAAUGUGUGGAGGUUUCAGGAAGACACACGUCAUCUCAUCAAAAAGAAGGACUUCAUGGUUUGUCAGAGCUGCACUGAGCCCCAUGGAGACCACGCUCUGCCCAGUGAGGAGUCAUCUAGAGAGGCAGUCUGACCCAAGCCACUUUGCUGUGCUGAGGUGAGCUCCCCGCAGUCCGAACUUCCUGGCUUCCUUCACACUGUGAGGGGAAAAC